rnacentral:rRNA from 1 species
CUACGGGUGGCUGCAGUGGGGAAUAUUGGACAAUGGGCGAAAGCCUGAUCCAGCCAUGCCGCGUGUGUGAAGAAGGCCUUCGGGUUGUAAAGCACUUUCAGUGGGGAAGAAAGCUUUGGGGCUAAUACCCUCGAGGAAGGACAUCACCCACAGAAGAAGCACCGGCUAACUCCGUGCCAGCAGCCGCGGUAAUACGGAGGGUGCGAGCGUUAAUCGGAAUUACUGGGCGUAAAGCGCGCAUAGGCGGUCUGAUAAGCCGGUUGUGAAAGCCCCGGGCUCAACCUGGGAACGGCAUCCGGAACUGUCAGGCUAGAGUGCAGGAGAGGAAGGUAGAAUUCCCGGUGUAGCGGUGAAAUGCGUAGAGAUCGGGAGGAAUACCAGUGGCGAAGGCGGCCUUCUGGACUGACACUGACGCUGAGGUGCGAAAGCGUGGGUAGCAAACAGGAUUAGAUACCCUAGUAGUC